rnacentral:rRNA from 1 species
UACGUAGGGGGCUAGCGUUGUCCGGAAUCAUUGGGCGUAAAGCGCGCGUAGGCGGCCCGGUAAGUCCGCUGUAAAAGUCCAGGGCUCAACCCUGGAACGCCGGUGGAUACUGUCGGGCUAGAGUCCGGAAGAGGCGAGUGGAAUUCCUGGUGUAGCGGUGGAAUGCGCAGAUAUCGGGAGGAACACCUGUGGCGAAAGCGGCGCACUGGACCACAACUGACGCUGAGGCGCGAAAGCUAGGGGAGCAAACAGG